CUCCUACGGGAGGCAGCAGUAAGGAAUAUUGGUCAAUGGACGCAAGUCUGAACCAGCCAUGCCGCGUGGAGGAUGAAGGCCCUCUGGGUUGUAAACUUCUUUUAUUGGGAAGAGACCUGUUUUUCUAAAGCAGUUGACGGUACCCGAUGAAUAAGCACCGGCUAACUCCGUGCCAGCAGCCGCGGUAAUAC
rnacentral:rRNA from 1 species